rnacentral:rRNA from 1 species
AUUGAACGCUGGCGGCAGGCCUAACCCUUGCAAGUCGAACGAGUGGCGGACGGGUGCGUAAUGUCUGGGAAACUGCUCGGUGGAGGGGGAUAACUACUGGAAACAGUAGCUAAUACCGCAUACCAUCGGAUGUGCCCAGAAGGGAGUAGGUAGGGGGGGGGGUAACGGCUCACCUAGGCGACGAUCCCUAGCUGGUCUGAGAGGAUGACCAGCCACACUGGAACUGAGACACGGUCCAGACUCCUACGGGAGGCAGCAGUGGGGAAUAUUGCACAAUGGGCGAAAGCCUGAUGCAGCCAUGCCGCGUGUAUGAAGAAGGCCUUCGGGUUGUAAAGUACUUUCAGCGAGGAGGCGUUACUCGCAGAAGAAGCACCGGCUAACUCCGUGCCAGCAGCCGCGGUAAUUC